GUUUUUGAGCGAGCGCUUUCAUGGUCAAAAGCGUCAUCGCCCACGGAAGAGCUAGCCACGCACUCCCCCAAACAGGCCUUCCUUUUAUAGUUACGGUUUUGCUAUUUUUCAGUUGGGUGUUUUUCAAUUGGCCGUCAUUCGAACUUGUGGUCGCUUGAUUGCGCGCUGUGAUUCGCACUUAGUUCUCUGGUUUCCUGGCGGGUUUCCUUUGUUGCUGGUUCGGUUUUCUUUCGUCAGGCGCGGUUUUUUGGUUAUGCCCGUGUCUCUUUCCCUUUUCAUUUCCCCCCUCUUGGAUUCUUCUCUGUUUGAUUUGGGCGGUACUGUUUCGAAAGGGUAGAGAGGGAGCGAAAGGAGGAGGCGCUCGAGCGGCGGAGGGACGAGGCGAUUUCAGUCUGGUUCAUGGCAGUGGCGAGAUCCCUCUCUCCUCGAGCUUGAGUGUUCUGCCCGAUUCGUUGGUUUGGUUCAGUGGGGAGUCUGUGGAAAGUAUCUCACAAGGAUGUACCCCUAGUCUCUUCUCUUGAGAGUGCUGGUUCUCUGAAUGAUCCUUUUGUUCCUAAUGAUUUUACAGCUGAUGGUUCUCAUCCUAUGUCCUUGGAAAUCUCUAGUGAUGAUGGAGGGCUUGACGAAGCUCUCUUCGACUUCUAUAUGGAUCAUGUAUGUGUUUUCUUGUGUUGUUUUGAGUUUAUGUGUUGUUAUUCUGAUGUCUUAUCGUUUUGUUGUUGAUUAUUGGUUGUCGUACUAAUUUUUUCAAAAAGUGAAAUGUUUAAAGAGGAAGUUAUCAUGUGCUGGAAAAAGAAAUGUGAAGUUGAAGCGGUCUUCUGAUUUCCCCGUUUGUUCUACUUUUCAUUGGAUAUUCAGGGAAAUUUUUCUCAGGUGUUGUCGAUGGUUUGUGUCCAACGUAUAAAGGUGUGGUCCAGGGAUCAGCUGGAGGUUUCUUUGUUAUUUUUGGUUUAGUUGACAACCGGGUCUGUUUUUUCCAGCCCGACCCGUUUAGUGGAUACGAGCAGAUUCAUUUUCUCGGUAGUUUUGUAGAAAUACAGGUGUCUGCAGUGGUCAGAAAAUUUGAUUGAUAUCGAAUUGAAAAUCAGUCAAAUGUAAAAUAGACAGUCCCAGUUACUAUAGUUAUGUGCACUGCUUAAGUAAUAGACCCGAAUCAGUCCGUUGCUUCGGAGAGAGUUGUCAGGUUAAAUCAUUCAAAGGUGACAGGGCCGUCUCCAGUUA